rnacentral:lncRNA from 1 species
UACCCGCGGCCGCGGCUAACCCCACCGUCCGGAUGUGGACGCUCGACGACCCGGAGGGCCCCGACCCAUGGACGUUCGAGUACGAGGUGGCCUUCGCCGAAAUCUGGGAGAACAAGACCUACACCGACGCGGGCCUGCUGCCGGACGAGGUGCCCCACGUCGCCCUCGUCGACCCCAACAACCACUUCGUCGUCUACUUCUUCCAGGGCUCGAAGCUCUUCGGCUUCGACAUGCGCGAGAAGAAUGUCGUCGGCUGCAAGGAAUGCCUGAUAGACCGUGAUCAACUCAGGUUCCAAUCCUCCCGCCCCAUCGUCGAUGCCUGGGAGCUACCGCCACCGCCACCCACGCUUCCAGGCGAAGACAGCUCUUCACCAGACGGUAUGCGCGCGUACAUCAUCCCCAUUAGUUGCUCAGUUCUGAUGCAUCCACUAGCCUUGCCUAACGUUACUGAAUCGAUUGGAUGCAGCAUGCAUGGCUGCUGGAAAUUGUGUGUCUGCAUAUGCUUGGCAUUCAGUUGUAAAUUGUGCGUGAUUAGACUCAGACCUAGGAUGGCUAGGUCGUUGUUGCCAACAUUCAUAUUGGCCUAUGUGCAUGCUAUUUACAGUAGUAUCUUCUGAACCGGUUUAUGCCGAAUUGGUAGAUAUGAUCGCAUUUCCGCCAGUUUCAGUUGGCAUGCUUAGUCAUAUUACACUCUGACCAGAUUGCAAGCGAUCCUCAUGACAUGUGUGCUCUUUGCCGAUUCAUUGCCUCUGUCUUACCAUUGAGAAAUAUGUCCAUUACUUUCGUAGAUAUACUACUCUGUUAUCUGCACACCUUGUAUGGAUGAUCGAAUAUUCACUGAAUUAGUCUGAAUUUGACAUGUACAGAACACUGCUUCUGUUUGGCAUUGAUUCAUGAAUCAUGACUAGUAUUUGGAUUUGGAAUACUGAUUGUUUAUUGCUUGCUUGACCCUUAAUUGCUGCUCUUUUGCAUGCUCUUUUAACAUUUGGAUUUGUAAUGCUCAUUUAGAAUAGAAUCACAGAUUUAGUCAGAAUCUGGCAUGAGCAGAUCAGAACACUGCUCUUCUGAUUGGCAUCAGUCAUUAUAUUUCCUCUUGCUCUGAUUUCAUUUAUGAAGCAUGACUAUGACUUCCACUAGCAUUUGGAUUUGGAAUGAUGACUAUUGCUUGCUGAGCCUUAAGUAUUCCUGCUGUUUUGCAUGCAUGCAGAUAAAGUUUGGUCAAGACAGUCUUAUGCCGAGGAAAUGAAGAGCCAGGUGACCGAAUCUGUUGACUCUUGGCUAACCCAGGCCCGGUUGGAGUGGACGAGGGACACGGACGCAUCAGAGGAGAACUGGAGGGCAUGGAAGAUGGCACCACCAACAUCUGAUGAAUCAUCUGCUAACUCGGGUGGCCAAGCUGAUGAUGAGCCGGAGAUGCAGUUCCCUCUUUCUCUGUAGGUGAGGCAGAGAGCCCAGAGACCGAUUCAUCGUGUCAAUAUGUGGAAGCUUCUUUUCGAUCUUGCGAUUCAGAUACAUAGAGUAGAGCUUGCAGCUUUGUGUCAUGGACAUCUCAUUUGAGUUCAUGAAAGCCAAGGAACAAUCAUACCGGGACCGUUAGUUGUUAUGGGGAUGUGUUUGCAGUUCCAGUACUGGAAUGCCAGUCCUGUGGUAACCUCUUCAUAUUUUUUGUUUGUUUGUUUCGGAAUGGAUUGCCUUUGUCCGUUGGGCUGUGAAAACAUGCAAUGUGUCGCAUGUCGAUCUGUCAAUACAAAUGGAAUUCAGUUUUGGUUCUCCAUGUUCAUUCCUUAUUCGCUUUGUCCUGUCCUGUUUGCAUGCUUUUCUGUUACAUUUAUCAAAUUUCCCUACAUGCUAGUAGAGGAGAUAGACCCAACUGGUGCUGCUGCCAGCUACAUUGAUGGCCUUAAGUUGGAGUGAAAAAAUGUGAAACCAUGGUUACAACUCACAAGUUCAGAACAUAACCAGCUCGCACUGCAUCUGCAAGGAUGCGAGAUGCAUUCCCCUCUAGAGCACAAAGUCCAUUUCGUGAAUAUCCUGUAUCGCUAACACUAAACCCGCCCAACUUUCACAAGGAAGACACGGGCACGCCGUCGGUGGACGCAUACGUGAGCGUGAGGUGUUCGUCGGCCUGUACGUCCGGCUGGCACCGCUGGUCCCUCGUCGGCUCGUCGCCACACCAGAGCAGCACGAUCGACCACUUUCGUCGGCGCCGGACAACGUCUGGCAGCACAUUUUUGUAAUCCAUUGGGGGCGCCGUCCGUGUCGACGAACAGCUCCGGCGUGGCAUCAACUCCCUGCGCUACCGCGCCUUCGACGGGGUCCUGUCACCAUCAGAUAGCACACGCGUCGAACACGACCCGGCCUGGCCUAAGCCCCAAGACACCUUGCACAAGAGUCAAGAUGUUGAAUUCCCUUGUAUCAAAGAAUUAUCCCAAAUGCUAACUUCUGAGCAUGCACAUUGAGAACGCGCCCAAACCAUUCGAUGGGCCUUCUUCCCCCAACAUGCCCGAGCCGCACCAUGCGGAGGUGAAUUGGCGUAUUCUCAAGGAUAGACCUUGUUCAAGGCAUCAUGGAGCGCCGUAUGGAGCUCGAGUGAUCGCGCUUCGCCUACAUUGUAACAAACUCAGGUCGUUACAGUCACCACAUACCUAACCAACGUGAACGACGUAAAGAUGCCUCCAUCCUUACUCUAACUCUACACAACUAGUCUUCUCCACUCUCUGGCUGAUGACGCCAACGUGUCGCAUCACCUUGCCACCAUGGUGCCCACCACCACUAGCCUUAAGAUUCUCUUUUAACUCCAUUGGAUUUCAAUUCAACAACUUAGGCUCUGCUUGGUUCGCGCCGGUAAUGUUUAACUCUCGUCACAUUAGAUGUUUGGAUAUAUGUAUAGAGUAUUACAUAUAGAUUAUUUAUGAAACUAAAAACACACUUAGAGGGUAAUUUGCGAGACGAAUCUUUAAACAUAAUUAGUCCAUGAUUGGACAGUAAUUGUCAAAUAAGAUAAAAAUGCUAUAAUACAUGUUAAACUUUAACACCUCUAAUCAAACACCCCAUUAUAUCCAAAACCCUGCACACCUAAGCCCUCCACAAUGUUGUGCUUGAGUGGUGCUAAAAGAGGAGACAGAAAAUAUUAGCAUCGCUCUAUACGCUGCAGCUAGUGAAGCCAAAACCAAGUGAUGCCAGUAAAACGUGGAGCGGCGCAACUACUUGCUCCGGUGCCAGGAGCUGCCCAAAAAAUAAAAUAGUAUUUUGUCUAAGAAGGGAUGCGGAGCAAAGGCAGAGAAAGUUGAGGACGGGAGAGGCAUGUUUGAUUUAUUUUAUUUUAUUUUAUUUUUUUACGGAUAUGAGUCCAAUGUGAAGCGAUGUAGAGUGCUCCCACGCUGCAGCCUAUAUAUGAAGAGCGGUGCUAGGAUUAGAGAUGGGGUCCAUGUAAUCUUUUAGGCACCGCUAUGACAUUAUAGAGGGCCUAACGUUAAGCGCCAAAGCCUAGCUUGUAAGACAUAGAUGUAGAGAGCAAAAUAAGAGACCGGUAAAUUAGUAGAAAAUUUUUCAAAAAAAAGAAGGCUAAUGCUCAUGGACUCAUGUAUACAGCACGACCUAUGAGAGGCAUCCAUACAAUAUAAGCAGCAGCGCCGGUACACGGGACACUCUGUGAUACGAUCAACAACGGCCAUGGCCCUACAAACGUGCAUCCAGUUGCCUGGGUGACCUCACGUGGACCCUACCGUGUUCCGUGCUGUGCAAGCGUACUGGAGCGGAGGAAUGAACGCCCCCGUGGGCCCGUCGCCUGCUGCCGUGGAUGCGCAGCGCUGCCACGCCCGCGCCCCCGCGCGCCGUCUAUAAAAUCCCCAUCCCCUUCCUCUUGCAGCCAGCAGCCACACGCCGAUCACGAAUUCAAACCAGUGCAGCGCCUCGCCGCCAGCCAUGUCGACGUCGUCGGCGCCAGAUGUGGCGGAGUCGUCGCGUGCCGGCCAGCAAGCGGAGCAGCAGCCCGAGCCGGAGCCGCAGCGCAAGUGGGUGGCCCUCGUCUCCGCUGCGGUCCUCCUCGGCAACGAGGACGAGCGGGCCCAGCAGAUCCCCGUCGGCUCCGACGUGCUGCUCGACCUCAACGACCCACCGCUGCCCUCCUACCUGGUGCUGCACCCCCGCGUCGUCGCCGACCCUAGGCGCAACGACGGGCCGCUGUCCGCCUACAUCCUCGCUGUCGACCGCUCCGCCGCCUGCAUCCUCGUCCAGGUCGUCGAAGGCAACCGCCCGGACUUCUUCCUCUGCAACACCCACAGACGUACCGUCACCAUCUUCCCCUCGGUGCGCAAUCUCCGGCCUCACCUCAGCAUCGGCCUCAUCGCCGACCCACGCCACCGCGGCCACUACAUGGUCGCCCAGCUCCACCCCACCACCUCCGACGACCAGCCCAACGGGAUCCUCUGCUACUCCACCGUCAUACGCCGGUGGUUCAUCAGGGGGCUCGACCUGCGACAGGCCCACAUGCGCAACCCCUUCUCCGAGACCGGCGUGCUCGCCCACGACGGCCGCCUCUGGUGGUUCGCCCUCGCCUAUGGCGUGUUCUUCUGCGACCCCUGCAGGCCACUCUACGAGCACCUCAAGCUGCGCUUCCUCCCGCUCCCGGACGACUGCGAGAUGGAGGGCGACGUCGCCUUCGACCCCCGCAUCAAGACCCUCAUCGACCAGCGCCGCUGCGUCAGGCUCAGCGAGGGCAAGCUGCGCUUCGUCAUGAUCCGCGGCCUCUCCUACGACGAGCUCGUCGACGUACCCGCGGCCGCGGCUAACCCCACCGUCCGGAUGUGGACGCUCGACGACCCGGAGGGCCCCGACCCAUGGACGUUCGAGUACGAGGUGGCCUUCGCCGAAAUCUGGGAGAACAAGACCUACACCGACGCGGGCCUGCUGCCGGACGAGGUGCCCCACGUCGCCCUCGUCGACCCCAACAACCACUUCGUCGUCUACUUCUUCCAGGGCUCGAAGCUCUUCGGCGUCGACAUGCGCG